rnacentral:rRNA from 1 species
UACGUAGGGGGCAAGCGUUGUCCGGAUUCAUUGGGCGUAAAGAGCGUGUAGGCGGCCAGGUAGGUCGGUUGUGAAAACUGGAGGCUCAACCUUCAGAGGUCGACCGAAACCAUCUGGCUAGAGUCCGGGAGAGGAGAGUGGAAUUCCUGGUGUAGCGGUGAAAUGCGCAGAUAUCAGGAGGAACACCGAUGACGAAGGCAGGUCUCUGGGCAUUAACUGACGCUGAGGAGCGAAAGCAUGGGGAGCGAACAGG